GUGUUGUCUGAAUGGAGAGAAGGUUCAUAUUCCCCUUGAGGAGUAUGGAAGGGUACUUGGGUCUAAAAGAAUGCAUAUGGUUAAGGCAGUGUGACCUACUUUGUGGCAUCUAGUCACUGUUUUUU
ensembl:snRNA